AUCCCAUGAGCAAUUAAUUUAAUUCCAUUAUUCCCCUUACCUAACAUACAUUUAAAUUUAUAUAUAUUAUAUUUAUAUUUAUUUAAAGGUUACAGUUUUGUGACAAGAGUAUUGAAAUUUGUAUGGUCUAUCUCCUUUUGCCCGUCCAAUGAACAAAUUAUAGAUAAUACAAUAAAGAAUGAAUUUCAAACAAUCAAUCAAAGACUGGGCCAGGCCAUAAAUAAAAUACAAAAAAAUUCUAAUCAAAGACUGGGAAGUGGGAACAGCAAUUGAAUUAAAGAGAGAUUGCGAUAGAACAGCAAGCCUUGAAGAAUUGAAGAAAAGUUAUCAGCGACUCGCUUUGACAUUACAUCCCGAUAAAAAUAAAACUGAUGAUUCUGAUAAUAAGUUUCGCCUAUUACAAAAAGCUUGGUCAGUUUUAAGAGAACCUAGCACCAGGAAACAGUAUGAUGCUACAUUAAGUUGCCAUGAAAAUAGUGAUCUAUUGCUUUAUGAAACAGUAAGACUGUCUGAAAUGGUGUUUGACAGUGAUGAAAAUGUGUAUUUAUACGAUUGUAGAUGUGGUGGGGUGUAUGUGCUUAAUAAAAGUAAUUUUGUGCAAUCUAGUGUAAUAAUUGGAUGUGAUGAAUGUUCAUUUUCGAUUCAAGUGAAUAGAUAAAAAAGUAUACAUA